GAUGAACGCUGGCGGCGUGCCUAAUACAUGCCAGUCGAGCGAACAGACGAGGAGCUUGCUCCUUUGACGUUAGCGGCGGACGGGUGAGUAACACGUAGGUAACCUACCUAUAAGACUGGGAUAACUUCGGGAAACCGGAGCUAAUACCGGAUAAUAUUUCGAACCGCAUGGUUCGAUAGUGAAAGAUGGCUUUGCUAUCACUUAUAGAUGGACCUGCGCCGUAUUAGCUAGUUGGUAAGGUAACGGCUUACCAAGGCAACGAUACGUAGCCGACCUGAGAGGGUGAUCGGCCACACUGGAACUGAGACACGGUCCAGACUCCUACGGGAGGCAGCAGUAGGGAAUCUUCCGCAAUGGGCGAAAGCCUGACGGAGCAACGCCGCGUGAGUGAUGAAGGUCUUCGGAUCGUAAAACUCUGUUAUUAGGGAUGAACAAACGUGUAAGUAACUGUGCACGUCUUGACGGUACCUAAUCAGAAAGCCACGGCUAACUACGUG
rnacentral:rRNA from 1 species